ACAGAAGAUCAAUUCAACAUAGAGGUGAAAAAAAAUUUUAAAACAAAAUCCCUUCUGGUGGACACAGCAGAGGCACUUUAAUGUAACUUUAUGUUGAAUUGUCUGGUAUGUUGAAUUUUGGGCUGAAUUGUUGAACUGUCUACUACCCGACUCAUGAAAUGAUGCAAGCUUGACUUAGAUUUACUGCUUCAUCUUUCGUAUGAUCAAAACAAAUGUUGAAAAUUUUAUAUCUUAGUGUUAAGUCGAACAAUCUUUUGUUCAUUUUGUACAGGCUAAGGCAAUCUUAGGCCAGAAGUUGAAGAAGGAAUAUGCCAAGUCUUAGAUCAUAUGUGGUUAGAUUAUGAGAUCUAUUUUGGCUCCGGAAUUGAAGAAGCAUCAUCUUCUUCAUAGUCGUCUUCAUCAUCACCUUCCUCCACGUCAUCAAAGAAGGGUGAACAAUCGGUUUUUGAAAAGAAACUCGAUAAAGUUUUAAAUACCGGAUCGAGUCAGAUAUCUCACUAGCCUAUGGAGACGGAUUCAUAGCAGACCUAAGAUGACAGUUCUUGGUUCUCGAGAGCACCUUUGCAUUCAUGAAAAAGUGAAAUUACUUUGUGGAAAAACACAAACAAAUGCUUGUCGAUCUUUCUGUCGAAGGCGUGCAAAGUAGAAGCAUCAAUGUAACCAUUUCCAAAAUGUUCCUGGAAAGUUUUUAAAACUUUUUUUCUUUGCAUCUAAUAUAAGUACUUAUCAGUUAUAAAUUACUUGUGAAAAUGUUUAGUCAAAUUAUUGCAACAACUGAAGAGAGAAGCUGAGGAGUUUGUUUCUAACAACUGAGUUUUUGCCAGGUAUAUAUGGAAUUAUGGACUAAUGGUGAUUGUGUCAAGUUAAAGUAUUUUGGAUAUUGUUUAAUGUUAAUUACGGAAACUAAGACUGACAUUGAAAAGGGAGCUACUACAAAUUGAAAGCUUACAUUAUUAAAAACGGCACAUGAGUUGAGUUAUUUUGAUAAUCUGUCACAUGCCUAUACUUGGAUGGCUCUGUCACAUGACUAAUGACAAGGGUUGUUGAUAUUAAAUUUGUUUUUGGUGAUUUGUAUAAAUUGGAAAGGUUGUUGAUUUGUAUAAAUUAGUUGAGUUGAGUUAUACCCCAUAUUUUUCAUUUUACUUUCUUGGAGUAAAGAUUUGUAUUUGGUUCUUUCUUGUCUUUUUUUUCCUGUCAGAUUCACUAAAUGCUUCUCUUUGUUCACCUGGGUUUAGAAGAAAUUAUGUUAUCACAUAUUGGACAUCAUGAUAACCCCGUUUUCCCUCCAGAGUACUAUAUGGAAAGGUGGAGCCAACUUGGAGAUCAUGAACAAGCCAUUCGUGUGUUGUAGAUGCUGAUAGAAAUGCAGUAACUUAUGUUCGCUUAUUGUAAAUGUAUAAUCUUUAAUUGAAACAAAGUAGUCGAUAAGGGAUACAAGUUUUCUAUAAAUCUGGUAUCAAUUAUAGUGAAAAAAAUUGUGUGAACCAACCUUGGAAUCAUCUUUGAAAAACUUAUGUUGGAUGCAAUUUCUUAAUUUGGAUUGUUAUCUGCUUCACACAUGAAUGGAAUUAUAAUCAUGACAUGA